rnacentral:tRNA from 1 species
ACCCAUUUGGCUCAGUGGAUAGAGCAUUGGCUUGCAGACUCAAGGGUCCCAGGUUCAAUUCCUAGUCAAGGGCA